rnacentral:rRNA from 2 species
CCUAAUACAUGCAAGUCGAACGAACUCUGGUAUUGAUUGGUGCUUGCAUCAUGAUUUACAUUUGAGUGAGUGGCGAACUGGUGAGUAACACGUGGGAAACCUGCCCAGAAGCGGGGGAUAACACCUGGAAACAGAUGCUAAUACCGCAUAACAACUUGGACCGCAUGGUCCGAGUUUGAAAGAUGGCUUCGGCUAUCACUUUUGGAUGGUCCCGCGGCGUAUUAGCUAGAUGGUGGGGUAACGGCUCACCAUGGCAAUGAUACGUAGCCGACCUGAGAGGGUAAUCGGCCACAUUGGGACUGAGACACGGCCCAAACUCCUACGGGAGGCAGCAGUAGGGAAUCUUCCACAAUGGACGAAAGUCUGAUGGAGCAACGCCGCGUGAGUGAAGAAGGGUUUCGGCUCGUAAAACUCUGUUGUUAAAGAAGAACAUAUCUGAGAGUAACUGUUCAGGUAUUGACGGUAUUUAACCAGAAAGCCACGGCUAACUACGUGCCAGCAGCCGCGGUAAUACGUAGGUGGCAAGCGUUGUCCGGAUUUAUUGGGCGUAAAGCGAGCGCAGGCGGUUUUUUAAGUCUGAUGUGAAAGCCUUCGGCUCAACCGAAGAAGUGCAUCGGAAACUGGGAAACUUGAGUGCAGAAGAGGACAGUGGAACUCCAUGUGUAGCGGUGAAAUGCGUAGAUAUAUGGAAGAACACCAGUGGCGAAGGCGGCUGUCUGGUCUGUAACUGACGCUGAGGCUCGAAAGUAUGGGUAGCAAACAGGAUUAGAUACCCUGGUAGUCCAUACCGUAAACGAUGAAUGCUAAGUGUUGGAGGGUUUCCGCCCUUCAGUGCUGCAGCUAACGCAUUAAGCAUUCCGCCUGGGGAGUACGGCCGCAAGGCUGAAACUCAAAGGAAUUGACGGGGGCCCGCACAAGCGGUGGAGCAUGUGGUUUAAUUCGAAGCUACGCGAAGAACCUUACCAGGUCUUGACAUACUAUGCAAAUCUAAGAGAUUAGACGUUCCCUUCGGGGACAUGGAUACAGGUGGUGCAUGGUUGUCGUCAGCUCGUGUCGUGAGAUGUUGGGUUAAGUCCCGCAACGAGCGCAACCCUUAUUAUCAGUUGCCAGCAUUAAGUUGGGCACUCUGGUGAGACUGCCGGUGACAAACCGGAGGAAGGUGGGGAUGACGUCAAAUCAUCAUGCCCCUUAUGACCUGGGCUACACACGUGCUACAAUGGAUGGUACAACGAGUUGCGAACUCGCGAGAGUAAGCUAAUCUCUUAAAGCCAUUCUCAGUUCGGAUUGUAGGCUGCAACUCGCCUACAUGAAGUCGGAAUCGCUAGUAAUCGCGGAUCAGCAUGCCGCGGUGAAUACGUUCCCGGGCCUUGUACACACCGCCCGUCACACCAUGAGAGUUUGUAACACCCAAAGUCGGUGGGGUAACCUUUUAGGAACCAGCCGCCUAAGG